CGGGAGGAUCGGGCAGCCGCCGUAAUUCCUUUUUGGAAUUGCGGAGGAAAGUCCGGGCGCCACAGGACAGGAUACCGCUUUAUCGGCGGGGCCCGCAAGGGUACGGAAAGCGCAACAGAGAGAAGUCCGCUCUUUUUUCAUCUUCGGACGAAAACGGGGUGAGAGGUGAAAGGGUGGGGUAAGAGCCCACCGGCCCGCAAUGUCGGGUGCAGGCAAGCCCUAUCCGGCGCAAGGCCAAGCAUGGGAGGAUCCCGGUAAAACGGGAAGAGGCGGUCCGUCUCUAUGCCAUCCUCCCGGGUAGGCCGCUUAGACAAAUGGCUGCCUCUCCCUCACAUGAGGGACAGACAGAACCCGGCUUACAGAUCCUGCCGUCCU
rnacentral:RNase_P_RNA from 1 species